AGAGUUUGAUCAUGGCUCAGAACGAACGCUGGCGGCGUGGAUAAGACAUGCAAGUCGAGCGCUGAUUUCAGGGUAGCAAUAUUCUGAGGUCGGAGCGGCGCAAGGGUGCGUAACACGUGGGUAAUCUGCCAUGAAGUUCGGGAUAACUUGCUGAAAGGCGAGCUAAUACCGGAUGUGACAGCCGAAAGACAUCUUUUGGUUGUUAAAGUUGGGGACCGUAAGGCCUGACGCUUCUUGAUGAACCCGCGGCCUAUCAGCUAGUUGGUGAGGUAACGGCUCACCAAGGCUAAGACGGGUAGCUGGUCUGAGAGGACGACCAGCCACACUGGAACUGAGACACGGUCCAGACACCUACGGGUGGCAGCAGUCGAGAAUUUUUCACAAUGGGCGCAAGCCUGAUGGAGCGACGCCGCGUGGGGGAUGAAUGGCUUCGGCCCGUAAACCCCUGUCAUUUGCGAUCAAACGUUAUUAUUUAAAAGAUGAUGACCUGAUAGUAGCGAAAGAGGAAGGGACGGCUAACUCUGUGCCAGCAGCCGCGGUAAUACAGAGGUCCCAAGCGUUGUUCGGAUUCACUGGGCGUAAAGGGUGCGUAGGUGGUGAGGUAAGUCGGAUGUGAAAGCUCGGAGCUCAACUCCGAAAUGGCAUUGGAAACUACCUUGCUCGAGGGUUGGAGGGGGGACUGGAAUACUUGGUGUAGCAGUGAAAUGCGUAGAUAUCAAGUGGAACACCAGUGGCGAAGGCGAGUCCCUGGACAAUUCCUGACACUGAGGCACGAAAGCUAGGGGAGCAAACAGGAUUAGAUACCCUAGUAGUCC
rnacentral:rRNA from 1 species